UCUGGUCUCAGCUCUGGAGUCAAACCCCUCACACCUGAGAGAGAUGGAUCUGAGUAACAAUGACCUGAAGGAUUCAGGAGUGAAUCUGCUCUCUGCUGGACUGGGGAAUCCCCACUGUAAACUGGAGACUCUGAGGACAGCAGCCCAGAAUAGUUACUGAACAUUUAAAAGAUCAUCUGGGAAUCCCUCCUAAUGGAUCUUUCUGAAGGUUCUCCAACAUUUACACAGCUCCUCAGAGGGAUAAACGAUCUGGAACAGACCUCGUUAGAUGUUGGUUCUCUGGAGCAAAUCGCAUGCAGCCGAACCCCGUCACAUUAUUGCUGACAUACAGCCAAGAAGGAUAACGGGCUCCAUAUGGAC
ensembl:lncRNA